rnacentral:rRNA from 1 species
AUAUCAAUAAGCGGAGGAAAAGAAACCAACAGGGAUUGCCCUAGUAACGGCGAGUGAAGCGGCAAGAGCUCAAAUUUGAAAUCUGGCGUCUCCAGCGUCCGAGUUGUAAUUUGGAGAGGCAUCUUUGGGAGGGGCCCAGUCUAAGCUCCUUGGAACAGCACGUCAUAGAGGGUGAGAAUCCCGUUCUUGGCUGGAUGUUCCCUCCUGUAAAAAGCGCCUUCGAUGAGUCGAGUUGUUUGGGAAUGCAGCUCAAAAUGGGUGGUAAAUUUCAUCUAAAGCUAAAUAUUGGCGAGAGACCGAUAGCGCACAAGUAGAGUGAUCGAAAGAUGAAAAGCACUUUGAAAAUAGAGUCAAACAGUACGUGAAAUUGUUGAAAGGGAAGCGCUUGAGACCAGACUCAGCCUCUGACAAACAACUGUCCUUCUGGGCGGUGCACUUGUCCUGGGCUGGGCCAGCAUCAGUUGGGAUGGCGGGAUAAAGGCCUGGGGAAUGUGACUCCUCUGAGGAGUGUUAUAGCCCUGAGUGCAAUGCCGUCCGAUCCGACUGUGGACCGCGCUUCGGCUAGGAUGCUGGCGUAAUGGUCUUCAGCGGCCCGUCUUGAAACACGGACCAAGGAGUCUAACAUCUAUGCAAGUGUUUGGGCUCUAAAACCCUCAUGCGUAAUGAAAGUGAACGGAGGUGGGAAUCCCGUCAGGGGUGCACCAUCGACCGAUCCUGAUGUCUUCGGAUGGAUUUGAGUAGGAGCAUAGCUGUUGGGACCCGAAAGAUGGUGAACUAUGCCUGAAUAGGGUGAAGCCAGAGGAAACUCUGGUGGAGGCUCGCAGCGGUUCUGACGUGCAAAUCGAUCGUCAAAUUUGGGUAUAGGGGCGAAAGACUAAUCGAACCAUCUAGUAGCUGGUCCUG